CGUAGGUGGCGAGCGUUGUCCGGAAUUACUGGGGUGUAAAGGGCGUGUAGGCGGGAAUGCAAGUCAGAUGUGAAAUGCCGAGGCUUAACCUCGGAGCUGCAUCUGAAACUGUGUUUCUUGAGUGUCGGAGAGGAAAGUGGAAUUCCCAGUGUAGCGGUGAAAUGCGUAGAUAUUGGGAGGAACACCAGUGGCGAAGGCGACUUUCUGGACGAUAACUGACGCUGAGGCGCGAAAGCGUGGGGAGCAAACAGGAUUAGAUACCCUGGUAGUCCACGCCGUAAACGAUGGAUACUAGGUGUAGGAGGUAUCGACCCCCUUCUGUGCCGCAGUUAACACAAUAAGUAUCCCACCUGGGGAGUACGGCCGCAAGGUUG
rnacentral:rRNA from 1 species